CAAUAAGCGGAGGAAAAGAAACCAACAGGGAUUGCCUCAGUAACGGCGAGUGAAGCGGCAAAAGCUCAAAUUUGAAACCCUCGGGAUUGUAAUUUGAAGAUUUGGCAUUGGAGAAAGCUAACCCAAGUUGCUUGGAAUAGUACGUCAUAGAGGGUGACAACCCCGUCUGGCUAACCGUUCUCCAUGUAUUGCCUUAUCAAAGAGUCGAGUUGUUUGGGAAUGCAGCUCAAAGUGGGUGGUAAACUCCAUCUAAAGCUAAAUACUGGUGAGAGACCGAUAGCGAACAAGUACUGUGAAGGAAAGGUGAAAAGAACUUUGAAAAGAGAGUGAAAUAGUAUGUGAAAUUGUUGAUAGGGAAGGAAAUGAGUGGAGAGUGGCCGAGGUUUCAGCCGCCCCUCGUGGGCGGUGUACUGCCGACGCCGAGUCAUCGAUAGCGAGACGAGGGUUACAAAUGGGAGCGCCUUUCGGGCGUUCUCCCCUAACCCUCCACACUGCCACCGACGACAUAAUCCACCCAUUUCACCCGUCUUGAAAC
rnacentral:rRNA from 1 species